AUUGUACGCUGGCGGCAGGCCUAAAACGUGCAAGUCGAGCGGAGCGGAGGACGGGUGAGUAAUGCCUAGGAAUCUGCCUGGUAGUGGGGGAUAACGUCCGGAACCGGGCGCUAAUAUGGCAUACUAUCCGAUUAGACUAGGUCGGAUUAGCUAGUUGGGUGGGUAAAGGCCUACCAAGGCGACGAUCCGUAACUGGUCUGAGAGUAUGAUCAGUCACACGGGAACUGAUACACGUUGCAGACUCCUAGGGGAGGGAGCAGUGGGGAAUAUUGGACAAUGGGGGAAACCCUGAUGCAGCCAUCCCGCGAGUAUGAUGAAGGCCUUCGGGGGGUAAAGUACUUUUGGCAGAGAAGCGGUAUCCUCAGAAUACGCACCGGCUAACUACGUGCCAGCAGCCGCGGUAAUUC
rnacentral:rRNA from 1 species